GUUGCAUUCUACCUCUUUACUUCCUGUUUGCUUAGGAGUCAGAUUGGGCAUGUCAAUGAUUCUUACAUAUGUAUAGACAUCAAUCAGCCCUUUCACACCAAAAUAACCAGAAAAUAGGUGGAGGUGAAUGCUAUUUAGGUCACUCUGAGCCACUGCAGAGGCAGUUAACAAUAAGGAAAAGCAUUUCCAAAUGGGUCAUCACUGUGCCAUGGACUUACGUAGGAUGCAAUUUUCAAGGGCUGGAGAGAGCUGGCAACUGCCUAGGAAAAAAAUGAGUUCAUAUUGGGGCUGGUCCUCAUCUCACAUCUCAAAAGGAAAGGAGCAUAAAUAAAUAAAUAUUUUUUCCAA